rnacentral:rRNA from 1 species
UCCGUAGGUGAACCUGCGGAAGGAUCAUUACCACUGUCAAAGGGCGUGUUUUCCGAGAGGUCUCGCGCCCGGCCAUUGAGAAAUGGUUUACCCUUGCUUAUCGAAGUACCGUUACGUUUCCUCGGCGAGCUCGCUCGCCAAUGGGGACUCCAAACCAAACUCUUUGCAGUAGCAAUUCUAGUCUGAAACAAAACAAAUCAAUCAAAACUUUCAACAACGGAUCUCUUGGUUCUGGCAUCGAUGAAGAACGCAGCGAAAUGCGAUAAGUAGUGUGAAUUGCAGAAUUCAGUGAAUCAUCGAAUCUUUGAACGCACAUUGCGCCCUUUGGUAUUCCUUAGGGCAUGCCUGUUCGAGCGUCAUUUGACCCCUCAAGCUCUGCUUGGUGAUGGGCGCCUUGUCGACCCCGCGGUUUCCGCAGGCGACUCGCCUCAAAUCUAUUGGCGGCUAGCAUUGCAGUUUCGAGCGCAGCAGAAACGCGAACUCGGGCCUGCGUGUGAGCUCCCAGCAAGCCAACCCCCACAUUUUGACCUCGGAUCAGGUAGGGAUACCCGCUGAACUUAAGCAUAUCAAUAAGCGGAGGGAAGUCGGACUGGCCAAGGGGCACACCAGGGGGGGGGGAUA